rnacentral:rRNA from 1 species
CUACGGGACGCUGCAGUGGGGAAUAUUGCACAAUGGAGGAAACUCUGAUGCAGCAACGCCGCGUGGAGGAUGACACUUUUCGGAGCGUAAACUCCUUUUAUAUAGGAAGAAGAUGACGGUACUAUAUGAAUAAGCGCCGGCUAACUCCGUGCCAGCAGCCGCGGUAAUACGGAGGGCGCAAGCGUUACUCGGAAUCACUGGGCGUAAAGAGCGUGUAGGCGGAUUAAAAAGUCAGAAGUGAAAUCCUAUAGCUUAACUAUAGAACUGCUUCUGAAACUCUUAAUCUAGAAUAUGGAAGAGGUAGAUGGAAUUUCUGGUGUAGGGGUAAAAUCCGUAGAGAUCAGAAGAAAUACCGAUUGCGAAGGCGAUCUACUAGAACAUUAUUGACGCUGAGACGCGAAAGCGUGGGGAGCAAACAGGAUUAGAUACCCCAUAGUC